CUCUCUUCUGGCCUGAAGAUCCUGCCAGACCUGGCUUCCAUCUAUUCUGGAUUUAUGGUGACCUCCUGUGGACCUCAAUCAUUGGAUCAAUACACUUCUG